UGGGGAAUUUUGGACAAUGGGCGAAAGCCUGAUCCAGCAAUGCCGCGUGUGUGAAGAAGGCCUUCGGGUUGUAAAGCACUUUUGUCCGGAAAGAAAUCCUUGGCUCUAAUACAGUCGGGGGAUGACGGUACCGGAAGAAUAAGCACCGGCUAACUACGUGCCAGCAGCCGCGGUAAUACGUAGGGUGCAAGCGUUAAUCGGAAUUACUGGGCGUAAAGCGUGCGCAGGCGGUUUGCUAAGACCGAUGUGAAAUCCCCGGGCUCAACCUGGGAACUGCAUUGGUGACUGGCAGGCUAGAGUAUGGCAGAGGGGGGUAGAAUUCCACGUGUAGCAGUGAAAUGCGUAGAGAUGUGGAGGAAUACCGA
rnacentral:rRNA from 1 species